rnacentral:rRNA from 1 species
UACGGGGGGGGGCAAGCGUUGUUCGGAAUUACUGGGCGUAAAGGGUGUGUAGGCGGUUGUUUAAGUUUGGUGUGAAAUCUCCCGGCUCAACUGGGAGGGUGCGCCGAAUACUGAAUGACUUGGAGUGCGGGAGAGGUGAGUGGAAUUCCUGGUGUAGCGGUGAAAUGCGUAGAUAUCAGGAGGAACACCGGUGGUGUAGACGGCUCACUGGACCGUAACUGACGCUGAGACACGAAAGCGUGGGUAGCAAACAGG